UACGUAGGGUGCGAGCGUUAAUCGGAAUUACUGGGCGUAAAGCGUGCGCAGGCGGUUCGUCGUGUCCGAUGUGAAAGCCCCGGGCUCAACCUGGGAAUGGCAUUGGAAACUGGCGGACUCGAGUGUGGCAGAGGGGGGUGGAAUUCCGCGUGUAGCAGUGAAAUGCGUAGAGAUGCGGAGGAACACCGAUGGCGAAGGCAGCCCCCUGGGCUAACACUGACGCUCAGGCACGAAAGCGUGGGGAGCA
rnacentral:rRNA from 1 species